GUCUCCGGCCGUACAACCCUGACCGCACCCGAUCUCGUCUGAUCUCCGAAGAUCGGAAGCUAAGCAGGGUCGGGCUGGUGGGUGACUCGGACGGGAGCAGGAGAAG
rnacentral:rRNA from 1 species